UACGAAGGGGGCUAGCGUUGUUCGGAAUUACUGGGCGUAAAGCGCGCGCAGGCGGUCUUCCAAGUCAGUGGUGAAAGCCCGGAGCUCAACUCCGGAACUGCCAUUGAAACUGUUAGACUUGAGGACGAGAGAGGUGAGUGGAAUUCCCAGUGUAGAGGUGAAAUUCGUAGAUAUUGGGAAGAACACCGGUGGCGAAGGCGGCUCACUGGCUCGUUUCUGACGCUCAGGCGCGACAGCGUGGGGAUCGAAACAAGG
rnacentral:rRNA from 1 species